rnacentral:sRNA from 1 species
AAGCUGGUGCGGCCGAUCCGCGCCGUGUGCCGCAUCCUGCAGAUCCCGGAGUCCGACCCCUCCAACCUGCGGCCCUAGAGCGCCCCCGCCGCCCCGGGGGAAGGAGAGCGCGAGCGCGCUGAGCAGACAGAGUGGGAGAACGCGUCCUCGCCCGCCGGCCAGGAGGCCCCGGAGCUGGCCCAUGGGGAGCAGGCGCCCGGUGCCGGCCACGACGACCGCCACCGCCCGCGCCGCGACCGGCCGGUGAAGCCCAGGGACCCCCCUCUGGGAGAGCCCCAUGAGGGCAGGAGAGUGAUGGAGAGUACGCCCAGCUUCCUGAAGGGCACCCCAACCUGGGAGAAGACGGCCCCAGAGAACGGCAUCGUGAGACAGGAGCCCGGCAGCCCGCCUCGAGAUGGACUGCACCAUGGGCCGCUGUGCCUGGGAGAGCCUGCUCCCUUUUGGAGGGGCGUCCUGAGCACCCCAGACUCCUGGCUUCCCCCUGGCUUCCCCCAGGGCCCCAAGGACAUGCUCCCACUUGUGGAGGGCGAGGGCCCCCAGAAUGGGGAGAGGAAGGUCAACUGGCUGGGCAGCAAAGAGGGACUGCGCUGGAAGGAGGCCAUGCUUACCCAUCCGCUGGCAUUCUGCGGGCCAGCGUGCCCACCUCGCUGUGGCCCCCUGAUGCCUGAGCAUAGUGGUGGCCAUCUCAAGAGUGACCCUGUGGCCUUCCGGCCCUGGCACUGCCCUUUCCUUCUGGAGACCAAGAUCCUGGAGCGAGCUCCCUUCUGGGUGCCCACCUGCUUGCCACCCUACCUAGUGUCUGGCCUGCCCCCAGAGCGUCCAUGUGACUGGGCCCUGACCCCGCACCCCUGCGUAUACUCCGGGGGCCAGCCCAAAGUGCCCUCUGCCUUCAGCUUAGGCAGCAAGGUGAGUGCAGGGGCAGAGAGGGUACCUGUGGCUCUGGCCUUGUAAAGUAGCUCGGUGGUCCCCAAGGUGCCCUUCCACUGUGAUGAAAAGAGAAGGCAGCACCGAGGUAGAGGGGUCUAUCAGCUUGGAGCUGUCCCAGGCCCCACAGUCAACCCCAAGCAAGCCCUACCCUGAGCAGCUCCAUCUCUCUAGGCCUCCCCUGCCCUCAGGUCAUUGCAGCCACUGACUCACCCAUUGUCUGCCUAGGAUAAGGUCCUGGGAACUGUGGCCUUGGAAUGUGUGGCUUGUCCUGGGAGGAGAUGGGUAGGCAGACAAGGGCCCUCUGAGAGUGGGAUGUGCAGGGGACCCCAUGGCCCAUGUCUAGGGUACCUCCUCCAUAGAUGACUCCCACUCCCAGGGAUGAGAUGUUAAAACACUUAAAACUCAGUAUGGCACAGGACACCAAAUGGCCCAAACAGACCCCAGAUGC